UAUGGUGGUUCCCAGGCUAGGGAUGGAAUUGGAGCCGUAGCCACCGGCCUACGCCAGAGCCACAGCAGCACCAGAUCCGAGCCGUGUCUGGGACCUACACCACGGCUCACAGCAACGCCGGAUCCUUCACCCACGGAGCGAGGCCAGGGAUCGAACCCGAAACCUCAUGGUUCCUCGUCGGAUUCACUUCCGCUGCGUCACGACGGGAACUCCAAAGCUAGGAAAGUUCUUGAAGAAGAGCUUGAUUUUCUUCCUCUUGGCCGCGUGGGUCGGGGCCAGUGGUGAUGACCUCCUCCGUUUACCUCGCAGGCUCCUUAGGUUGGCCUUCGCUCUGUGUUUUAUCUCCCUCUAAUCAGGGUGUGAAGGGGUGGCUUGCUUUUAUGCGUAGAAAGGGUGCUUUGAGGGUACAGCUUUUGCUUGAAAUGUGUAGCACUGCUUGAAGGCCAGAUCCAGAAGGAUUGUCUUCUUGGAGUUUCUGCUCUGGCACAGUGAGUUAGGGACCCAGCAUCGCCCCAGCUGGGGCGUAGAUUGAAGCUGCAGCUCGGAUUUCAAUCCCUAGCCCAGCAAGUUCCCUAUGCCAGAAAAAGGAUUUUUUUUUUUCUCUUUAAACAGCUGCCCUGUGCUCUGGAAUGCGGGUUGCUUGCAACUUUUGUCUUUGUUGAGCAGGAAGUGUGACAGCUGGCGACCAACGCUGACGUUCCAACCAUGUGUGGCCUCGAUGAAGCAGAGCAGGGUGGUAGGGACAUCAUGUCCCAAGUGCAUUUUCAUUGUAGUCAAUGCCCCCCACGUCCCCCCGAAAAAACGUAAAACAAAGGGACAAUGGGGCCUGAGAGCUACUUGUAAAGAUCAUUGGCCUGGGAGUUGGGAGGGUGAGGGGCAGAGCAGGGAAUGAAACUUAAAAAGCAGCAGGGCUUGGGGAAUGUCAGACUUCGCCGAGUUCCUUCUUCUUGGGCUAAAUGGGGGCGGCCAUGGCAUGAUUUCCAAGGGCUCUUGCUGCACUAACGUCCUGCCGGGUGGGUACCUGACUGAAGACGAACGCCCCUUCACGGCUGUAAAUAUUCAGGCUUUAGCACAUGUUGGAAUGCACCGUCCUUCUGUGUGCCUACUUCCAAAUUAACGCUACCGUCUAUUGAGAAUCUACUGCUCAAGCGUGAUAUGCCAGAGACGUAUCAUCUGAUCUAAACCUUGUCACAGUUCUCUGGGGGCAGCAAGCAUCACAACACAAAAUUGACUUCUGAGGAAGCUCGGAUGUGGACAAGUGGCCCGAUACCAAGGUGCCCUAGCAAGGGGCAGAAGAGAGCUUUAACCUUAGACUGACUCUGGGUCACCAAGCUCCUGACCAGGACACCACAUGAGGUCGAACAGGAGCUAGUAGGAAAGGCUCUCGGUUUCUUUAUCGCUAUUUUGGAGUCUGGAUUGGAAGGAUGUGACUGAAAAAAAAGGCCUUCCUAGAAAUCCCCACAUUUUCAGAAAUGUGCCUUUGGUUUGUGCUCUGAGGCAUGGAGAUGGUGUGCCACCAGAUGGCUGCGGCCCCAACAGCGAGCCGGUGGGGCAGGGCCUGGUCUUGCACCUUGGCAGGUUUCCACGGCGGUCCGUUGAACGUCCUGGGCCUACAAUUAGGGACACUGUUCCCAAGUGAGAUUCGGACCUGCUGCUCUACAAUUUAGGGAGCAUCUCAGGUUCUCUUCUCCUUGGAGCAGCGCUUCUCAAAGCCUCAUCCCCAGACCCCCAGGAGACCUGAGGACCCUUUCAUGGGGCCUGUAGAUGAAGACAUUUUCACGGAGAUGCUGCAACGUUCCUUGCUGUUUUUCACUGCAGUGAUACUUGUAUCUAAGAACUAAGGCGCAAAAGCAGUGGUGAGUAAAACCGCUGGAAUCGAGGCAGGAAAGCAGGUGGUGGCGCCAGCCUGUUACCAGUCGUGGGGUUCCUCACCAGGCACCCACAAGGAAAAGAAAGUACCUGCAAGUCCUUUAGUUGAUCGCGGGGGUUCACGGUUCCUGGCCUUUUCAAAAUUGUGGAACCCUUUUAAUUAAAGAUUCCCAGGUAGUGUAAGUUAAUUGUUUAGUCAUAAACAUUAAUUGAUAAGAAAAGCACAUAAUGACAGCAAGCCCUAGCAAUUUAAUACUACUUUAAUUUGCAUCAAGAAAGCAAAAUAAAUUUAAAAAAAUUUUUAUGAUAAACUUUUUUUAGGGCCGCACCUGUGGCAUAGGGAAGCUCCCGGGCUAGGGGUCAAAUCAGAGCUGCAGUUGCCAGCCUACGCCACAGGCAUAGCAAUGAGGGAUCGAGCCACAUCUGUGACCUACAUCACAGCUCAUGGCAAUGCUGGAUCCUUAACCCACUGAGCGAGGCCAGGGAUUGAACCCACAUCCUCAUGGAUACUAGUCAGCUUUGUAACCCACUGAGCCACAACAGGAACUCCUGUGAUAAACUUUUAUAUGACUGUAGGGAUAUGCUAUAAGUUUUGAGGUUAUUUCUUGUAAUAUUUUGUACAUUGCACAUUUUUAGGUUCUUUUUUUUCCUUUUUUUAAUGGAGAAAACUGUUAAAUGACAUUGACCUUUCCAGUUUGGAACAUAACGUUGGGACACUGUAUCUGAUAAAU
rnacentral:lncRNA from 1 species